rnacentral:rRNA from 1 species
GACGAACGCUGGCGGCGUGCUUAACACAUGCAAGUCGAACGGAAAGGCCCUGCUGUUGUGGGGUGCUCGAGUGGCGAACGGGUGAGUAACACGUGAGUAACCUGCCCUUGACUUUGGGAUAACUUCAGGAAACUGGGGCUAAUACCGGAUAGGAGCUCCUGCUGCAUGGUGGGGGUUGGAAAGUUUCGGCGGUUGGGGAUGGACUCGCGGCUUAUCAGCUUGUUGGUGGGGUAGUUGCUUACCAAGGCUUUGACGGGUAGCCGGCCUGAGAGGGUUACCGGCCACAUUGGGACUGAGAUAGGGACCAGAAUCCUACGGGAGGCAGCAGUGGGGAAUAUUGCACAAUGGGCGGAAGCCUGAUGCAGCAACGCCGCGUGCGGGAUGACGGCCUUCGGGUUGUAAACCGCUUUCGCCUGUGACGAAGCGUGAGUGACGGUAAUGGGUAAAGAAGCACCGGCUAACUACGUG